CUUAUCAAUGAAGCAGACCAUGAGUUCUCAUUGUAUAAUAAUGGUGUGGGGAUGCCGGUUACAACUGUGGACUCCUUGGCUCCAUCUCAUCUGCU
rnacentral:pre_miRNA from 1 species